rnacentral:misc_RNA from 1 species
GAUGAAGAACGCAGUGAAAUGCGAUAAGUAAUGUGAAUUGCAGAAUUCAGUGAAUCAUCGAAUCUUUGAACGCACAUUGCGCCCGCUAGUAUUCUGGCGGGCAUGUCUGUCCGAGCGUCAUUUCAACCCUCAAGCCCCCGGGCUUGGUGUUGGGGAUCGGCGAGCCUCCGCGCCCGCCGUCCCCUAAAUCUAGUGGCGGUCUCGCUGUAGCUUCCUCUGCGUAGUAGCACACCUCGCACUGGGAAACAGCGCGGCCACGCCGUUAAACCCCCAACUUCUGAACGUUUGACCUCGGAUCAGGUAGGAAUACCCGCUGAACUUAAGCAUAUCAAUAAGCGGAGGA